rnacentral:lncRNA from 1 species
AAAAAAAAGUUCUAAUGCAGAUUCUCAACAUGUGGGGUUGGUACCUAUACUUUCAAGUUGUUCAAGGGUCAACUGUAGUCUGUUUUCUUAGAAAAACUGUAGUCUGUCUCCUUUAGAUAACAUUUCUUUACUCCACACUAAGAAAAUUAGUAUACUUAUCAGCAUUAUUGCAACUGAUCCCAUGUUAUAAACGAGAAAAAUUUCCAGACUUACAACUACCUACCCAUCCCUAACUCUCAAGGCUUUUUCCUGUUGUUGUUCUUAGUUCUACAUUUAAAUUUAUUCAAUGCAAAAUGAUGCUUUUUUUUAACUUAGUCUUCCAUUCACUUCUUGAUUCAAUAGUUUACAACACAGUCUCCUCUCCUUUCUUUCCCCGAAAAGAGCAGAUUUGUGGAAACUAUAAGCCACGAUUUUUCUAUUUGAAAACAUACGUUGGCCAGGUAUGAUGGUGCACGCCUGUAAUCCCAGCACUUUGGGAGGCUGAGGCGUGUAGGCUGCUUUGAGCUCAGAAGUUCGAAGCCAGCCUGGGCAACAGAGCGAAACCCUAUCUCUACAAAGAAUACAAAAAUUAGGCCAGGUGCAGUGGCUCACGCCUGUAAUCCCAGCACUUUGGGAGGCCGAGGUGAGGUGGGCGGAUCACUUGAGGUCAGGAGUUCGAGACCAGCCUGGCCAACAUGUUGAAACACCAUUUCUACUAAAAACAAAACAACACAAAAAUUAGCUGGGUGUGGUGGCAUGUGCCUGUAGUCCUGGUUACUUGAGAGGCUGAGGUGAAGGGAUUGCUUGAGCCUGAGAGGUCGAGGCUACAGUGUGCCAAAACUGCACCACACCGCACUCCAGCCUGGGCAACAGAAUGAGACUCUGUCUCAAAAAAAGAAAAGAGCCAGGCGCGGUGGCUCAU